rnacentral:rRNA from 1 species
GACGAACGCUGGCGGCGUGCUUAACACAUGCAAGUCGAACGGAAAGGCCCUGCUUUUGUGGGGUGCUCGAGUGGCGAACGGGGGAGUAACACGUGAGUAACCUGCCCUUGACUUUGGGAUAACUUCAGGAAACUGGGGCUAAUACAGGAUAGGAGCUCCUGCUGCAUGGUGGGGGUUGGAAAGUUUCGGCUGUUGGGGAUGGACUCGCGGCUGAUCAGCUUGUUGGUGGGGUAGUGGCUUACCAAGGCUUUGACGGGUAGCCGGCCUGAGAGGGUGACCGGCCACACUGGAACUGAGAGACGGUCCAGACUCCUACGGGAGGCAGCAGUGGGGAAUAUUGGCCAAUGGGCGCAAGCCUGAUCCAGCCAUACCGCGUGGGUGAAGAAGGCCUUCGGGUUGUAAAGCCCUUUUGUUGGGAAAGAAAAGCAGCAGGUUAAUACCCCGCUGUUCUGACGGUACCCAAAGAAUAAGCACCGGCUAACUUCGUG